rnacentral:tRNA from 1 species
GUGCUAUUAGCUCAGUUGGUAGAGCACCUGACUCUUAAUCAGGGUGUCCGGGGUUCGAGUCCCCGAUGGCACA